AAGGCCUCUGGAGAGAGGUCAGGGCUGCUUGUGGCCCAUCCAGAGGAAUCUUGGAUGGUGGGAUUUGGGCAUGGCCUUGGCAAGGUCUUUCUCCCAGUGUCAAGGCUGGGGGAGCUGCCUGUGUGCCUCUCCCGACGGCUCCCUCCCUCCCUGGUUCAGGUGUGGAAGUACCCCAAGGUGUGGGAGGGCUUCAUCAAGUGCUGCCAGCGCACCAAGCCCCAGAGCUUCCAGGUCAUCCUGCAGCUGCCGCCCCAGCAGCUGGGAGCUGUCUUUGACAAGUGCCCGGAGCUCCGGGAGCCCCUGCUGGCCCAUGUCCGCUCCUUCACCCCCCACCAGCAAGCUCACAUCCCUAACUCCAUCAUGACCAUCUUGGAGGCCAGCGGCAAGCAGGAGCCAGAGGCCAAGGAGGCGCCUGCGGGGCCCUUGGAGGAGGAUGACCUGGAGCCCCUGGCCUUGGCCCCGGCCCCAGCACCCCGGCCCCCUCAGGACCUCAUCGGCCUGCGGCUGGCCCAGGAGAAGGCCUUAAAGCGGCAGCUGGAGGAGGAGCAGAAGCUGAAGCCGGGAGGAGUGGGAGCCCCCUCCUCUUCCUCCUCCUCUCCCUCUCCCUCGGCCCGGCCGGGCCCGCCCCCGUCUGAGGAAGCCAUGGAUUUCCGGGAGGAGGGGCCUGAGUGCGAGACCCCGGGCAUCUUCAUCAGCAUGGAUGACGACUCGGGGCUGACCGAGGCCGCGCUGUUGGACUCUAGUCUCGAGGGCCCCCUACCCAAGGAGACGGCAGCGGGCGGGCUGACCUUGAAGGAGGAGCGGAGCCCCCAGACCCUAGCACCUAUUGGAGAAGAUGCUGUGAAGACCCCCAGCCCGGCUGCCGAGGACGCCAGGGAACCCGAGGCCAAGGGGAACAGCUGACGGGGCUCGAGGGGGAAGGGGGGUGGGACAGGGACGCGGGGCUGGGGACGGGGCGGGGCUUGACCUGCGGAUGCUUUGCCUUAAAAAAAAA
rnacentral:sRNA from 1 species